GACGAACGCUGGCGGCGUGCUUAACACAUGCAAGUCGAACGAAAAUACCAAGCUUGCUUGGUUGAUUAGUGGCGAACGGGUGAGUAACACGUGAGUAACCUGCCCCUUACUUUCCUGGAUAACUGCUCGAAAGGGUAGCUAAUACGGGAUAUUCUGACCAGCCUGCAUGGGUUGGUUUGGAAAGGUUGUUUUUCUGGUAAGGGAUGGGCUCGCGGCCUAUCAGCUUGUUGGUGGGGUGAUGGCCUACCAAGGCUUUGACGGGUAGCCGGCCUGAGAGGGUGGACGGUCACACUGGGACUGAGAUACGGCCCAGACUCCUACGGGAGGCAGCAGUGGGGAAUAUUGCACAAUGGGCGCAAGCCUGAUGCAGCGACGCUGCGUGAGGGAUGAAGGCCUUCGGGUUGUAAACCUCUUUCGUCAGGGAACAAGGCACUGCUUUUUUGGUGGUGUUGAGGGUACCUGGAUAAGAAGCGCCGGCUAACUACGUG
rnacentral:rRNA from 1 species